rnacentral:rRNA from 1 species
GAUGAACGCUAGCUACAGGCUUAACACAUGCAAGUCGAGGGACCGGCGCACGGGUGCGUAACACGUAUCCAACCUGCCCUUUACUCGGGGAUAGCCUUUCGAUAGAAAGAUUAAUACCCGAUGUAAAGGAUGGGGAUGCGUUGCAUUAGGUUGUUGGUGAGGUAACGGCUCACCAAGCCUUCGAUGGAGAGGGGUUCGGAGAGGAAGGUCCACCACAUUGGAACUGAGACACGGUCCAAUAUCCGACGGGAGGGAGCAGUGAGGAAUAUUGGUGAAUGGGCGUUAGCCUGAACCAGCCAAGUAGCGGGAAGGAUGAAGGCUUAUGGGUCGUAAACUUCUUUUAUAUAAGAAUAUUUAUUAUAUGAAUAAGGAUCGGCUAACUCCGUGCCAGCAGCCGCGGUAAUUC